AGUGAACGCUGGCGGUAGACCUAACACAUGCAAGUCGAACGGCAGCACAGUAAGAGCUUGCUCUUACGGGUGGCGAGUGGCGGACGGGUGAGGAAUACAUCGGAAUCUACUUUUUCGUGGGGGAUAACGUAGGGAAACUUACGCUAAUACCGCAUACGACCUACGGGUGAAAGCAGGGGAUCUUCGGACCUUGCGCGAUUGAAUGAGCCGAUGUCGGAUUAGCUAGUUGGCGGGGUAAAGGCCCACCAAGGCGACGAUCCGUAGCUGGUCUGAGAGGAUGAUCAGCCACACUGGAACUGAGACACGGUCCAGACUCCUACGGGAGGCAGCAGUGGGGAAUAUUGGGCAGUGGGCGCAAGCCUGAUCCAGCCAUACCGCGUGGGUGAAGAAGGCCUUCGGGUUGUAAAGCCCUUUUGUUGGGAAAGAAAAGCAGCAGGUUAAUACCCCGCUGUUCUGACGGUACCCAAAGAAUAAGCACCGGCUAACUUCGU
rnacentral:rRNA from 1 species